UUCUUCACCUCAGCCCAAGCCAAAUCCCUAAUAAAAAUCCCCAAAUUUCUACACCCACACCCGAUUGCGCCGCCGCGCCAUGUCGUCGCCGCCGCCCGCCGCCGCCGCCGUCCCGCCCCGCCUCUUCUACCACCCAGCCUAUUGGUGCCACUCCUGCGACAUGAGCAUCGGUCUCCCCCCCUCCCCCACCCCCAACGCCCUCCUCUGCCCUCACUGCCACCGCGAUUCCCUCGAGCAGAUGGACAUGGACGACUCCGAUUCGCCGCCUGCCGCCCCUCCGAGAACUGCUUUCUCCAUGGACAACGCCUCCGCCGCCGCGACGUUCGCCCCCGACGACAAUUUCCUCCUCAACAGUCCCUACCUCCACCGCCUCAUCCACCACCUGACCGCCACCUCCGCCGUCGCCAAUCCUCGAUCCGAUCCGGCGCCGAAGUCGUCAAUCGAUUCCUUGCAGGAGGUCAGCAUCACCGCCGAGAGUGAUCCAACUAUGCUCUGCCCGGUCUGCAAGGACCCCUUCGUAGUCGAUUCCGUCGCUAAAUUGAUGCCGUGCAAGCACACCUACCAUUCCGACUGUAUCGUCCCCUGGCUGGAGAUCAACAAUUCCUGCCCCGUCUGCCGGUUCAAGUUGCCGCCGGCGGUCGAAGACGGGAGGGCGGAGAAUGAAGGCAAUGGAUACGUCGGACAUGUGAGGCUUGAAGAACUGGUGGAUGAUGAGGUCGAUUUGUUUGGAUUUAGGAACACUCUGAGACACAUUGCUCGCCGCCAUCGUUGGAACGAUGAAGGAAACAUUGGGAGUGGAAGCGAAGGGAACUUUUUCUCCCCCACGCAGAUCGCGGAGGUGGAGGAGAGAGGCGGUGGAAAUUCGGAGAGGGAAAACAGUGUGGAGACUGUUUCAAGUUGGCCUCGGUGGCCCGCGGAGGAGAGAGGGUCUGGCGGCGGUGGCAAUGCCGCCGGCGCCGGCGAUGCCUUUUCUAGAAGUUGAAUUUAUACUGUUUUGGUAGACAUUAGAGGAAUUCGAGCAUAUUCUGUUUUGGUGCUUGGGCAAAGAAUUGGCUUGUUCUGGUGAUGUAUAUUUGGCGCAAAAGCCGGGCCUCGCUGUUCCUGUCUUGGCCCUGCCCGGCCGGCGAUAAGCCUACCUUGGAUCAUAUGGUGUAAUGGAAGUGUAAAUUUAACAUGACUGACUCUGCUAAACAUUCAAAUGUGAAUCUUGCCAUAUUUUGCUAUCUAAUAGCCAACAAUAUAUCAAUUCUGAAUA